AAAUUAGGCCCUACUUAAAUUAAAAUCAGAGGCCCAUACAGUAAUUAAAAUCGGCCCAAUUAAAAAAAUAGAGGCCCAAUUCGAAUUAAAAUGGAAGCCCAAGUCACUAAAAUAUGAAAGCCCAAACUCUCUCUCUCUCUCAAAAUUCUCGGUUCUUCCCUUUUUCUCAAAUCUCACAACCGACACUCUCUCUCUCAAACUCAAAGCAGAACACGCUCUGCUCUUCUUCUCGAUUCAAAAACCAGUCGAUCGGCCCUUCCCAGCUCGCUCGACGUCUUCUUCUCCGGCCAUCCAGCCGCUUGCUCCGGUCGUCGUCAUCUGUCGACGCGUCAAAGCCCCGGCGCCGUCCUCUUUCCUCCCCGCAGAGCCCCGAAAUCGCGCCCUAGAUCUGAAUCGUCAUCGUUGCCGCCGAAAUUGGUCGGUUAGUCGCCGCCUGGGAGCGGCGUUGCUCCGUACUCUGACCAUUCCAGCCACCGGCGACUGCUGCUGUUUCGCCGGAGUCGCGGCCUGGAGUUGCUGCUGUUGCUACUCUUUCGCCCGGAAUCCGGCGAGCGGUCGCCGUCUGAGGUGGGCGAUAUUUUGGAGCGUUGUUUCUGUGUUCAAAACCCGGCGGAAUCCCGUGCCUGGUUUGCACCCAUCGUCGUUGACGUUCUGGGAGUCGGCGGCUUUACCGCGAUUCUGAUUCGGAGCGCCGGUUGGCUUCUCCUUCUUUGGCCGCUGUUUCUGUCAUUCCUAUGCAGGCAAGACUACGAGAGUUCGCUGCCCAUCUUCUUUCCCCGUUCGGCAGUAGAAAAAGAAAAAGGCAGCGGCUUGCCGCCGAGCCGUCUCCGGCCGUGAGCAGCCCCCGGCUGUUCUCACCCACUUCUAUUCCGGCGAGUAGCAGCGAAAGCCGCCGCCGAUCCUUGUGUUCACGGCUCAGCAGCCUCACAAUCUCAGCCCUCUCCUCGCCGAUCGACUGCAACGAAGGUCGCCACCUUCGACGGCCUCCUCCAACAACUCACACAUCCCGACUCACAACAACAGCGUCAACAGCUUCAUCUCAACACUCACGCCCACACACAAUGCAUAGAUACUCCCUUUUCUUUUCUUUAACCAAUUUGUGGUAAUUCUAAAAUGUAGUAGAAAGAACAUUUUAUGGAACUCAUUUAUCAGAAAAAGAACAAGGUAUGCGUGCUGAUUUCUGUGACAUAAUAUGUGUGCGUAUCCUCUGUGAAUUGUGCAGUCCUAGUUAGUGUUGAUUAUGUACAUGAACAUGUCAUCGGUGAUGGUUUUCUUUAUAAAAUGAAUGACUGAUUUUGAGUGUA